rnacentral:rRNA from 1 species
GGGCCCGCACAAGCGGUGGAGCAUGUGGUUUAAUUCGAUGAUACGCGAGGAACCUUACCAGGGCUUAAAUGUAGUGGGACAGGUCUAGAGAUAGACCCUUCUUCGGACUCAUUACAAGGUGCUGCAUGGUUGUCGUCAGCUCGUGCCGUGAGGUGUCAGGUUAAGUCCUAUAACGAGCGCAACCCCUACCGUUAGUUGCCAGCGUGUAAUGACGGGGACUCUAACGAAACUGCCAGUGCAAACUGUGAGGAAGGUGGGGAUGACGUCAAAUCAUCACGGCCCUUACGUCCUGGCUACACACGUGCUACAAUGGCCGGUACAGAGAGCAGCCACUUCGCAAGAAGGAGCGAA